CAGCAUCAGAGGGUCCAUAUAGAUGAGAAGCCCUAUAGGUGUACCGAGUGUGGAAGUAGCUUCCGUCUGUGCUCAAACUUCAUCAGACAUCAACGGAUUCAUUUGAGAGAGAGACCCAGUGAAUACACAGCAGAUGCAAACUAUUCUGAAUUUACAUCUCUGCAUCAUAAAGAAGAGCAAAGGUGUGGUGCAGAGAAAUGUGAGAAGGAUCACUUGAACCUUCUUCUUGAAGAGUUGAAGAAAAUGAGGGAAAAUAUGGAUAUGCUGCUUCUGAAUCAGCAAAGUCAGCUGCAGGUCCUGCAAGAAAUUCAGAAACAACUGAAUAUACUCCUCCCAGGCAAUGAUCUCAUUAAUUCAAACGUCUAUAGUUUAGGACUUCUGCUAGGACGGCAGGCGGCUGCUGUGGCGUCCCUUUCUUUUCCCCUUCUUAAUCCCAGCAGUCUCCUCCCUGAAAAUGCCGGUCUCUUAUCCCAGUCAUCUGCUCCUGGAG